GAUGAACGCUGGCGGCGUGCCUAAUACAUGCAAGUCGAGCGAACAGACGAGGAGCUUGCUCCUCUGACGUUAGCGGCGGACGGGUGAGUAACACGUGGAUAACCUACCUAUAAGACUGGGAUAACUUCGGGAAACCGGAGCUAAUACCGGAGAAUAUAUUGAACCGCAUGGUUCAAUAGUGAAAGACGGUUUUGCUGUCACGUAUAGAUGGAUCCGCGCCGCAUUAGCUAGUUGGGAAGGUAACGGCUUACCAAGGGAACGAUGCGUAACCGACCUGAGAGGGUGAUCGGCCACAUGGGAACUGAGACACGGUCCAGACUCCUACGGGAGGCAGCAGUAGCGAAUCGUCCGCAAUGGGCGAAAGCUUGACGGAGCAACGCCGCGUGAGUGAUGAAGGUCUUCGGAUCGUAAAACUCUGUUAUUAGGGAAGAACAAAUGUGUAAGUAACUAUGCACGUCUUGACGGUACCUAAUCAGAAAGCCACGGCUAACUACGUG
rnacentral:rRNA from 1 species